GGUAAAGGACUUACUCUUCGGAGUGAGAGCGUACACAGGUGCUGCAUGGCUGUCGUCAGCUCGUGUCGUGAGAUGUUGGGUUAAGUCCCGCAACGAGCGCAACCCUGCAUUCAGUUGCCAUCGGUAAGGCCGGGCACUCUGGAUGGACUGCCGGCGACAAGCCGGAGGAAGGUGGGGACGACGGUCAAGUCAUCAUGGCCCUUAUGUCCAGGGCGACACACGUGCUACAAUGGCCGGCACAACGGGAAAGCGAAGGGGGCGACCCUGAGCGGAUCCCACAAAAGCCGGUCUCAGUUCGGAUUGCAGUCUGCAACUCGACUGCAUGAAGUUGGAAUCGCUAGUAAUCGUGGAUCAGGGGGCCAAGCCGCGGUGAAUACGUUCCCGGGCCUU
rnacentral:rRNA from 1 species